CAUCUAAGUACCCCGAGGAAAAGAAAUCAACCGAGAUUCCCCCAGUAGCGGCGAGCGAACGGGGAGCAGCCCAGAGCCUGAAUCAGUGUGUGUGUUAGUGGAAGCGUCUGGAAAGGCGCGCGAUACAGGGUGACAGCCCCGUACACAAAAAUGCACAUACUGUGAGCUCGAUGAGUAGGGCGGGACACGUGGUAUCCUGUCUGAAUAUGGGGGGACCAUCCUCCAAGGCUAAAUACUCCUGACUGACCGAUAGUGAACCAGUACCGUGAGGGAAAGGCGAAAAGAACCCCGGCGAGGGGAGUGAAAAAGAACCUGAAACCGUGUACGUACAAGCAGUGGGAGCACAGAGCAAUCUGUGUGACUGCGUACCUUUUGUAUAAUGGGUCAGCGACUUAUAUUCUGUAGCAAGGUUAACCGAAUAGGGGAGCCGAAGGGAAACCGAGUCUUAACUGGGCGUUAAGUUGCAGGGUAUAGACCCGAAACCCGGUGAUCUAGCCAUGGGCAGGUUGAAGGUUGGGUAACACUAACUGGAGGACCGAACCGACUAAUGUUGAAAAAUUAGCGGAUGACUUGUGGCUGGGGGUGAAAGGCCAAUCAAACCGGGAGAUAGCUGGUUCUCCCCGAAAGCUAUUUAGGU
rnacentral:rRNA from 1 species